rnacentral:rRNA from 1 species
UACAGAGGGUGCAAGCGUUAAUCGGAAUUACUGGGCGUAAAGCGCACGUAGGCGGUUAGUUAAGUUGGAAGUGAAAUCCCCGGGCUCAACCUGGGAACUGCUUUCAAAACUGCUGAGCUAGAGUACGGUAGAGGGUGGUGGAAUUUCCUGUGUAGCGGUGAAAUGCGUAGAUAUAGGAAGGAACACCAGUGGCGAAGGCGACCACCUGGACUGAUACUGACACUGAGGUGCGAAAGCGUGGGGAGCAAACAGG